rnacentral:rRNA from 1 species
UACGUAGGUGGCAAGCGUUGUCCGGAUUUAUUGGGCGUAAAGGGAGCGCAGGCGGUGACUUAAGUCUGAUGUGAAAGCCCACGGCUCAACCGUGGAAGGUCAUUGGAAACUGGGUCACUUGAAUAUAGAAGAGGAAAGUGGAAUUCCAUGUGUAGCGGUGAAAUGCGUAGAUAUAUGGAGGAACACCAGUGGCGAAGGCGACUUUCUGGUCUAUUAUUGACGCUGAGGCUCGAAAGCAUGGGUAGCAAACAGG